rnacentral:rRNA from 1 species
AUGGCAGUAUCUGUGGGAGUAAAAACACGGUCUUCAGAAAAGAUCGUGCUACCUGUCGAUGCAGAUAGAACCACGGUUGUACUUGCCCAAGAACCAGCCCCACCACACAUAACCCACACUCAUGUAGAUUGUACCCCUACCCAGUUGGACAGAGAACCGGCUACACCCCUUCUAACCCCAACCCCAGUAGAUAGACACCCAGUUCCCGUUGACACAGCACCGUCUCCACCACAGAGCACCCAAACACGAGCAAUUAGUAAGGCAACUGCAGUACCCAAAUCACGAGGACCACCACUCCGAACCCAAAGUCAAUGCUUAAAGCAGAAGAAAAAUUGUUCUUAG